rnacentral:rRNA from 1 species
CCUACGGGUGGCAGCAGUGAGGAAUAUUGGUCAAUGGCCGGAAGGCUGAACCAGCCAAGCCGCGUGAAGGACGAAGGUGCCAAGCAUUGUAAACUUCUUUUGUCAAGGGACAAAAUCAGGCUCGAGAGCCUGACCGAGGGUACCUGAAGAAAAAGCAUCGGCUAACUCCGUGCCAGCAGCCGCGGUAAUACGGGGGAUGCGAGCGGUAUCCGGAUUUAUUGGGGUUAAAGGGUGCGCAGGCGGUCUGUUAAGUCCGCGGUCAAAGCCCGGGGCCGAACCCCCGCCCCGCGGUUGAAACUGGCAGUAUCGAGGUGGAGAGAAGUAUGCGGAAUGCGCGGUGUAGCGGUGAAAUGCAUAGAGAUCGCGCAGAACUCCGAUUGCGAAGGCAGCAUGCCGGCUCCACACUGACGCUGAGGCACGAAAGCGUGGGGAGCAAACAGGAUUAGAUACCCCAGUAGUC